rnacentral:rRNA from 1 species
GAUGAAUGCUGGCGGCGUGCUUAACACAUGCAAGUCGAGCGGUAAGGCCCUUCGGGGUACACGAGCGGCGGACGGCUGAGUAACGCGUGGGAACAUGCCCUAAAGUGAGGAAUAACUGCCCGAAAGGGUGGCUAAUGCCGCAUAUGAUCUUCGGAUUAAAGGAUUUAUCCGCUUUAGGAGUGGCCUGCGUACGAUUAGCUUGUUGGUGAGGUAAUGGCUUACCAAGGCGACGAUCGUUAGCUGGUCUGAGAGGAUGACCAGCCAGACUGGAACUGAGACACGGUCCAGACUCCUACGGGAGGCAGCAGUGAGGAAUCUUCCACAAUGGGCGAAAGCCUGAUGGAGCAACGCCGCGUGCAGGAUGAAGGCCCUCGGGUCGUAAACUGCUUUUAUGAGUGAAGAAUAUGACGGUAACUCAUGAAUAAGCACCGGCUAACUACGUGCCAGCCGCCGCAGUAA